CCCUGAGAGAGAAGUCCUCCCUAUCUGUUCCAGUUAACUCCUGCACUAGUGAUCUUUGCUUUCCACUGUGGAUGAACAGACCGAUCCAGGUGAAACCAGCGGACAGCGAAAGCCGAGGAGUUUUCUAUCUGUAUCACAUGAAUGAUGAUACUGGACUUUUUUGAAAUCCUGGGACAGUCUUGCAGUUGGAUCCUGCACAGAGGAAAAGAAAGCUCUACACAGGGCAAUAGACUGCAGCUUGGAAGACUGAGGCUUAAAUUCUUACCUUGCCACAGAUAUUCUCCUCGACCUUGAAGAGGUUACUUAGGGUCAGCCUAUUAUUUUCACUCCAUUUCUAUCUGGUGACUAUUAUUAUCUUUGACUGAAUAUACACGUAAAAUUGGUCGAACAUCUUGCUC
rnacentral:lncRNA from 1 species